UACGUAGGUGGCGAGCGUUAUCCGGAUUUACUGGGUGUAAAGGGUGAGUAGGCGGGAAGUCAAGUCAGAUGUGAAAUGCCGCGGCUUAACUGCGGAACUGCAUUUGAAACUGAUUUUCUUGAGAGUCGGAGAGGCAAUCGGAAUUCCUAGUGUAGCGGUGAAAUGCGUAGAUAUUAGGAGGAACACCAGUGGCGAAGGCGGAUUGCUGGACGAUAACUGACGCUGAGACACGAAAGCGUGGGGAGCAAACAGG
rnacentral:rRNA from 1 species